UUUAACCUUUCCAUAAUAGAUUUCACUAGUGAAAAUAUGCCCAGUAUAAAACAGUAACAGUCCAGACAUUUUUGUUUACAAAUGUGUUUACAAAGUCUGUAGCUUGCAGUUUAUUUUUAAACUACUUAACCAUAACAGGCCAAAUGUCUUUUUCUUUUACUUUCCAGCUUUCAUAGCCUCCUAUCAGAAGAACUGAUAGUUUUAACAAAGUAUGCCUUUUCUAUCUGUUACAGCUAAGUCUAUCUUCAUUGGGUAUCAGCAAAACACAGACAACUCACUGUUCAGACAAGUAAGUAGGCCAACCAUAGAGAGCGCUGAACACAUUCUCCUUGAUCCAGAGACCCAGCAGAUUUUGGUCUACCUGGGCCCAUGUUUUCAUCUAUUUUGCAACAAGCAAAGAUGGGUGUCUAGAAGCAUCUCAAAGCAGAGUUCCAAAACUAAAUAAGAUAGGGGCAUGUCUACACAAGGAAAUUAUUUUGCAAUCCCCUUCUGGCAGAAGGAGACCAGUUCAGAUUGGUGGGACCACAUCAUCCUGCAGUGAUGGGACGACCAGCAGUGGCUGCAGAACUUCCGCAUGCAGAAGUCCACCUUCCUUGACCUGUACAAGUGGCUCACCCCUUCCCUCAGGUGACAGGACACCUGCAUGCUCCCUGCCAUCCCCAUGAAUUAACGCCUUGCCAAUACACUCUAGAAGUUCUCCAUGCCAGAAAGCUACCACUCUGUCAGGAACCAGUUUGAUGUGGGGAAAUCCACAGUAGGAGCCAUGUUCAUACAAGUAGCGAAGGCCAACAGCAGGAAGGCCAUAGACAGCACAGGGACAAUCGUCUUGAAGAACCUCUGUUAAUGAACAGGGUGAGUAACCUCCUCUUCUUCUUCAAGGACUUUCCCUGUGGGUGCUCCACUUUAGGUGACUAUAGAAUAGUACCCAUAAUGGUAAGGCAGGUGCUUCAGCUAAAUGCUGUGUUGGACCUUGGUCAGGACCGUAUGUCUAAAUUUAGUGCCCUAUUUUAGGUAAUUAUCGAGCACAUAAUCUCUGGCGAAGGUGUACGUGGAAGACCAAGUUACAGCUCUGCAUAUGUCUGAGAGGAAUGUUACUAAAGUAAGCUGUACAGGUUUCCAUGGCCCUCAUGGAGUGUGCCCGCAACAGAAGUGAAGGCUCCUGGUUAAAACUGGUGUAAUCCAGGCAGAUGCAGUCUCAAAUCCAUCUGGAUAGUCUCUGGGUAGAGAUUGCAUGCCCAGGGAUCUUUCAGCAGUGGAGAUGAAAAGUCUGUUUCUAUCCUUUCCAAAUAGAAGGCAAUUGCUCAACGCACAUCAAGCGUGUGCCAUUUAGCUUCUUCAGCGGUGACAUGAGUGGAAAGAAGACUAGUGGAAAGAAGACAGGUAACACCACAAGGAAAUAAAUAAGAAAAGAGCCACUGAGGAACCAUGCCCAGGGAUCUGGAGGGAUGGAUUCCAGAUUUGACCAUCUCUACAUACCUGCUCCACAUGUCCAUGAGACCUUCAUGGCGUCUCCCAAUAGUUCCCCAUCUUCUAGCAGAUGGUCUACAAGAAUUGAGGAGGAUUUCCUGUACCGGUGCUGAGCAUGUUGUUUCAAGUGGCAUUAAGCAGCAAUGAGCCAUAUCUGGAGCUGAAGCUUCAGAACACUGGGGUAACAAAGAUCUCCAUCAUUCUGAGUGAGGAGCCAGGAAACCAAAGGGAAGCGCCAAGGGGACACAAAUGCCAUCUGGAGCAGGUGAUGAACAGGUCCAUCUGUGGAGCCCCCAGAGAUGGAAGAUGCCCUGAAGAACAUCUGACUGAAUCUACCACUCGUGAUCGUGUGGGAAAUGUCUUCUGACCACAUCUGCCAUUACAUUGCUCAUGCCAGGGAAGAUUAAGUAGGUUCUGAGAAGAGGAGAGCUCUGUCUGAGGCUGAGGACAGUUGAGAGGAACUGGCGGGAGCCGGGCCACAUGCGACGAUCAAAGGGCGUGACCAGUGAGAGGUGCUAAUCGCGCAUGCACAGCCCGGCUGAUUACAGCUAUUGAAAGUCUCCAAUCUGCGGCGCCAGAAUGAGGCCAACACCUACAGUGAAGCACCCAGGGGGAGCACUCGAAGAAGAAUAAUGCUUCUUUCAAAACUGUUAUUUUGAAAUAGUGUUAGUGUGCUCAGCUACUGCUAUUUUGAAGGAAUGCCAACAUGUACAGUGAAAUGGCCACCAGCCUGGUGGAAAAAGGACACAUACGGACCCUUAACCAGGUCUGCAUGAAAAUAAAAGAACUCCGGCAGACCUACACUAAGGCCAGAGAGAAAAAUUCUUGCUCAGUCUGGGGAGUCAUCGCAGUGCCAGAUCUGGUGUGUGUGAGACACGGAAGAAAGGUGAGAAGUCCCAUCCUCCCCUCCCAUCCACAGGCUCCUGGUCUGGCCAUCAUAUUCCCAUGACUGUUUGUCCGCUGGCUGUGGAGGUAGUGAUGCUCUCCUGGAAUGUCGGUGCCCCUUCAGGAAAGUUCCCACUGUGUAAACAACAGAUUGCCUUGCUUGAAGCACAUCGCCAUUGUGUGAACUGAGACCUUUGGUAUCGGUUCAGAGAUUAGGGCUAGGCUUCAUGCACAGUGUCUCCUGGGAUGACUGCCCUUGUUACUUUUCUUCACAGCUGAACCAGCAGCGAACGUGGCCUUUCCACCAUAACUGGGAGCAGUGGAAGGUCAUGUGGGAGCAGCUUUCAUGCUAGCAUGAAGCCAUGUGCUCCUCCAUAACAUCUGUCCUGGAAUGCAUGGCUACAUGCAUGGAGCAGGGCACCAGCCACCUCCCCACACCUGCCCCUCAAUUCCCUGCCCAACUGCUCACCCCACCCCUCCAGCUCCCUGCUCCCACCCCGGCUCCUCCUCAUGGCCCUCACAGGGGCUGCCAGGGCCCCCGAACAUGUGGCAGUGGGACUUCACAGGCAACUAAAGCCUCCCAAGGUAUCCAAGGCAGGCACCACUCAUAGCCCCAUCCCUGAGACCUGCUCCUCCCCCUUACUUCCCCUCCCCAAUUCCAGGUUCUUUCCUCAGUCGCUCCCCUGUUGUAUAUUCCCCAAAUAAAAAAAUCAGAGUUGUCUGUUCAAACAAACAGUCUUUAUUGUUUGCUCUGCAGGGGAGGGGAGAAGUUAAGAAGGGAAGGCAGGGGAAAGGAGAAGUAGGGGAGGAAAUGCACACAAGGGCAAUGCAGGGUCUCCUUGUGGAGAGGCCCAGGGAAGAGUCUCACAAGUGGCCUUGGCUGAAACUCUACCUCAAAUCCUCCUGGAUGAGCACAGCCCCGACGUGCUCUCCAGAUGGCACUGGUGUUCAGCUGCUCGUAUGCCAUGACCAGCCGCUCAGCCUUUGCCCCAACCCUGGCAGGAAAGUUUGCCCCUUGCUUUCACAUAUGCUGUGGAGCACACAGCAGUCUGCCACCAAGGCCGCAUUUGUUAGAAUCAAAUCCAUUGGUUCUAACUAACAUUACUCCUCAUUUUAGUAACAUUAGUUCGAACCAAGGGGUUUGAUUUGAAUUAACAUGACCUGGAACGCACUUUCAAAUCAGCUGGGUUCCGAAACAGCGUGCGGCC